rnacentral:misc_RNA from 1 species
ACGGGAUUUCUGUAAUGUACAAUCAAAACAUACUGCAAAUCAUCUUGUACCCACCAUAAUGCACAAUAGCUAAGAAAUCUUCCCUCAUGCUGCGUAAGUUUUAACUUCUUCCCUCAUGAAGAAUUUCCAUUUUUAGCACACCUUGGUUUGGCCAAUUUAACAUGCUUUCUCUCUCCAUACAGAUUAUGAAGUUUUUCAUACUCAGCAUCAGAUGUAACGGAACCAAAACCAAGCAUACCAGAAAAAAGAUUAGCUUACAUCAAGGACGCCCUUUUUGGUCGAAUUUUC